UUAAAUAUUAGUCAAAUCCAAAGUUCCCUCUCAAAUGUCAGAGUAAAUUGUUAUAAAGCGAUUUAUGCAUGUGAUGGCCGCUGCGCGGUAUUAAUAUACACCAUGCAUGAGUCUGACAAACUCGCGUUUGGAGGAACCGACUGUCUACGAUUUCACAAUUUGUUAUGUCCCUCUCGAUCUACUGAAAUGGUUCUGCAUACGUUGAAUCAACAUUAUUAUCAAUCCCUUCAUAUACAGGAUUUCCAUCCAAUAAUUUAUUUGCUGGUUCAUAAAGAACAUUAUCUGUCGUGUUGUGCAUCUCUAUUGCCACAGUGUCGUAUUCAUACCCCGCGUUCUCUUCCGAGUCAUAGAUUGGAUUUGUGGUUGCUUUUGAGGUAACACCAUAUCCAGGGGACGUUUGCGAUAAAGAUGUUGGUGUAUGACU